rnacentral:RNase_P_RNA from 1 species
UGAGUAGCACAGAUGGUUGCGCCUAUUAGCUGUCGAAAGACCUUAGGUGAGGAAAGUCCGAGCUUCACAGGGCAGGGUGCCGGAUAACGUCCGGUGGAGGCGACUCCAAGGCUAGUGCAAUAGAAAUAAACCGCAGAAGAUUUUUUCUGUAAGGGUGGAAAGGCGAGGUAAGAGCUCACCGCCUUGCUGGUAACAGCAGGGGCAUAUGUAAACCCCACUCGAAGCAAGACCGAAUUUAAAGCGAUACGAUUGCCCGUCGUGCUUUUGGGUAGGUCGCUUGAGCCUGAUGGUGACAUCAGGACCAGAUAGAUAACCAUCUAAUACAGAACUCGGCUUAUAGUGCUGCUCAGCAG